rnacentral:tRNA from 1 species
ACUCUGUGUCAGUUGGGAGAGCGUUUGACUAUAAAUCAAAAGACCCCUUGUUCGAUCCCGGGAUUCGAGUU